UUGAGAGUCUCAGUGAUGUGGUUAAUUCCACCAAUUUUUGGUUUGUUUUGUUUCUAUUUUAAAAAGGAGCUCACCAAAAUAAUCAAAUUAUAAAAAUAAAAAAAACUACUUUUACAACGUAAAGUGUUGAUUUGAUAGUCAGGUGUUAGAUCAACAUGUUGAUCAACAUAACUAAUCCCGGCGAUAGGCUGAUUUGUAAUCAUGUAUGAGCUGGGCUGAAACAAAAGCUUAUACACACUCCUGCCAUUCAGAUCUGGAGCUGUCCACCCCUGUAAGUCAUUUUCCUGCACUAUGGGUACAAUUGGAGGUGGGUUGGGGGGAUUCAUUUAGAUGGUAAUUAUAUAUAAUGCAUGCUCCACUCUCAGAAGUUGAACUUGUUGACUGAUGACAAGGCGGCAGCUGCUAAAAGGUGCUGCAUGGUCAAAUCUGAUAUACGCAUUGGCAGUGAAGCAUUUAUGCUGAUACGGCUUCUGCAGAAGUCAGGGCAUUCAUACUUCUUGCACUUCGCAGAGCAGCGUAGAGCUGUUGAGUAGAGCUGUGUGAAGGAAGUUGUCAAGGAAGUGAGUUUGUUAAUACAGGACGUAAUGCCACCACUUACCAUCAACCAAUCAUGUCAGUGCGGAGCUAUUCCUAAACCUCCGCAUUGUUACAAAAUUUGGGAGGUGUGGUGCGAUGCGGUACAGAGCUCAAUUUGGCCUCUGCAUGCCUCCGGAGGGUCCGCUAUUGCAUCACACCCUCCAUACAGAGCACUCGACCACAUUUUCAGAUCAAGCAUAAAUUGGCUUUAAGAAGAAGAGAGCAGCUGCAGACCAGAAGCCUACAGCCAAUGCAGCACUGGUCCACACCUGUUCUGUCUGUCGGACAAAUGAUGACCAUGAUUUGAAUGCUGCAACUGAGACGGAAUGACUUUGAGGGAGACAUGCUGAGACCCCGAGUUAGACUGGACUUGGGCCAGAUAUUUGUGACAACGACCUAAAAGGGGUCUAAUUCUUAAAAUGGAAAAGCAGAAGAAUCUGUACACUCUCGGAUAAAAUUAACAGUUCAUAUGGUGCUCUUCGAUGUCCCAGGUUUGUGGCAGGAAUAAAUCAUUUAAUCUUUACUUCAAGUCAGAUGUUUAUAUGUUAUGUUUAAAAGGCGUAUGCAUUGUUUACUAUUUUGAUUUAUUUAAAGCAAUGUAAUUGCUUUAAUCUGUUAUCUUUUUCUCUCUUUCUUUCUCUCGGAGGACCUGAGCCCAAAGACCAUGCCUCAGGACUACCUGGCCUGAUGACUACUUCCUGUCCCCAGUCCACCUGGUCGU